rnacentral:rRNA from 1 species
GAUGAACGCUGGCGGCGUGCUUAACACAUGCAAGUCGAACGAAGCACUUUAUUUGAUUUCCUUCGGGACUGAUUAUUUUGUGACUGAGUGGCGGACGGGUGAGUAACGCGUGGGUAACCUGCCUUGUACAGGGGGAUAACAGUUGGAAACGGCUGCUAAUACCGCAUAAGCGCACGGCAUCGCAUGAUGCAGUGUGAAAAACUCCGGUGGUAUAAGAUGGACCCGCGUUGGAUUAGCUAGUUGGUGAGGUAACGGCCCACCAAGGCGACGAUCCAUAGCCGACCUGAGAGGGUGACCGGCCACAUUGGGACUGAGACACGGCCCAAACUCCUACGGGAGGCAGCAGUGGGGAAUAUUGCACAAUGGGCGAAAGCCUGAUGCAGCGACGCCGCGUGAGCGAAGAAGUAUUUCGGUAUGUAAAGCUCUAUCAGCGGGGAAGAUAAUGACGGUACCUGACUAAGAAGCACCGGCUAAAUACGUG